rnacentral:lncRNA from 1 species
AAUGGUUAUGUUACAUGCACAAUGUGGUAAAUAGAAGGUACUUCAUUGUAAAGCUUUUUCUGUUUUCAGCUGUGCAUCUUUUACCUCAAGAAAGAGGACUUAAAACUCUUGAAUAGAUGUGUCAUUGUAAAGCUUUUUCUGUUUUCAGCUAUGCAUCUUUUACCUCAAGAAAGAGGACUUAAAACUCUUGAAUAGAUGUGAACACAUUGGCCCCCAAACCCUUUAACUUGAAUCUUGUUAGUACAAUCUUAUUUGAUACUUCUCCUCUUUUAACCCUAUAUUCAUGACUUUUUCUUCUCCG